rnacentral:rRNA from 1 species
AGUGAACGCUGGCGGUAGGCCUAACACAUGCAAGUCGAACGGCAGCACAGGAGAGCUUGCUCUCUGGGUGGCGAGUGGCGGACGGGUGAGGAAUACAUCGGAAUCUACUCUGUCGUGGGGGAUAACGUAGGGAAACUUACGCUAAUACCGCAUACGACCUACGGGUGAAAGCAGGGGACCUUCGGGCCUUGCGCGAUUGAAUGAGCCGAUGUCGGAUUAGCUAGUUGGCGGGGUAAAGGCCCACCAAGGCGACGAUCCGUAGCUGGUCUGCGAGAAUGAUCAGCCACACUGGAACUGAGACACGGGCCAGACUCCUGCGGGAGGCAGCAGUGGGGAAUAUUGGACAAUGGGCGCAAGCCUGAUCCAGCCAUACCGCGUGGGUGAAGAAGGCCUUCGGGUUGUAAAGCCCUUUUGUUGGGAAAGAAAUCCAGCUGGCUAAUACCCGGUUGGGAUGACGGUACCCAAAGAAUAAGCACCGGCUAACUUCGUGCCAGCCGCCGCAGUAA